rnacentral:rRNA from 1 species
AAGAGUUUUUAAAAGCCUUCGGAUUUUCGAGAUUGGGCUCUUCUGGUGUACUUUUUCGUACGGUUAGUCAACAUCGGUUUUUGAAUGUCAUAAAAAUGACUGGAGGAAUGUGGCUUCGAUCUCGUAUUGAAGUGUUAUAGCCUUUUGGUAGAUGUGAUGUUCGAGACCGAGGAUUGCAACGGAUACCCUUCUGGGCUAUUCGUCUGAUCUCUGAAACGUUGCCUUGAUGUCGAAAGCUUGCUUAUGAUGUUAAGGGUAUUACGGUCAAAAAGGUUAGAACGGAUUAAAA